GUCUAUGGCUGUACCACGCUGAACAUGCCCUAUCUUAUCUGAUUUAAGAAGCUAAGCAGGGUUGGACCUGGUUAGUACUUGGAUGGGAAGUAGGGUUUUUUUUCCCCCUAUGUAAUUGGCUUCAUUGCAU
ensembl:rRNA 5S_rRNA 5S ribosomal RNA